CACCACCCGUCACAUUGUGAAAGUUGGCUGUGCCCGAAGUUGCUACAUUAAUUGCAAGGAGGGGGAUGCCAAUGACAUGGUUAGUGACUUGAUGAAAUCGUAGCAAGGUAGUUGUAUUGGAAGGUGUGGUUG
rnacentral:ncRNA from 1 species